rnacentral:rRNA from 1 species
UUGACCUCGGAUCAGGUAGGGAUACCCGCUGAACUUAAGCAUAUCAAUAAGCGGAGGAAAAGAAACCAACAGGGAUUGCCUCAGUAACGGCGAGUGAAGCGGCAAGAGCUCAAAUUUGAAAUCUGGCUCCUUCGGGGCCCGAGUUGUAAUUUGUAGAGGAUGCUUCGGGCGUGGCCGCGGUCUAAGUCCCCUGGAACGGGGCGUCGCAGAGGGUGAGAAUCCCGUCUUCGGCCGGCCGGCCCCGCCCGUG